GACAUAAAGGCGGAAACCAAUCAAGUUCUGCUGAAUGGUUUGAAAUAAAGGCGGGAACCAAUCAAGCUCUGCUGAGCGUUCAAAUUUAAAUGUCAACCUAUAACAACUCUGUAACCUCAAAAAAAAUCCCUAACUUGUUUGUGCCUGUCUAUAAAAGAAGCUGUAAGAUCCUUGCUCGGGGCCUCUUGCGUCACCAGAGACGAGUGCUCCGAGGACCGGGUUUGAACCUGCAAUAAACGACCCUUGCGCUUGGCUUUGGCUCUGGACUCUGGUGGUUUGUUUUCGGGGGGUCUCUCGAAUCGGGGCAUAUCAGUAAGACCUGCGAGCUGCCAAUUGGUAGAAGAUGUGAGUGAGGCGGAAGACAGAGCCACGGAGCUGACACAGACUUGCCCUAGUGCCAAGGACCAGGGGGCCUUUGUGGCCUACGGGUUGGGGACCUAACUGGUGGGAACAGGUGACCGCCGCAAAGCCAAGGCAUGCGCAGCCAUGGAGACAGACCCAGCUCAGGACAGCCUUACAAAGAGUGGCAGAAGUGUCACUGGUCACAAGUCAGGCAUGCGGGGUAUCUGUGGCCUCAGUCUUCAACAACAGAAUGAAUACAUACGUGACUAUUAUUUUCUGAGAUGUACCUAUAUCAAAAAACUGCUCUGUAGUGUAUUAAAAGACUACUAAUGUUUUAA